rnacentral:tmRNA from 1 species
GGGGGUGAAUAGCUUCGACAGGCGGUGUUUUGUCACAGGUCGCAGGCCCUGGCUGGCUGGAACCAGGAUAAAAUCCGGCCAAAAAACAAACGCCAACUCACAGUUGGCUUGGGCCACUGCCUAACACGCAGUGAGUUCACGUCGGUCCCUGAUACCUGCUAAGGGGCAGCCGGCGUCAUGAGCAGGCUGGAGGUUCUCCCGCUGUCACCGUCGGAGGGGGCCUCGAGACCAGAACGGGGAUAGUCCGGGCGUACCUGUCCGUCGGUUUCUCCCGGACGAAAUUCAGGGCGGACUAAGCCUGUAGUGGCCUUGGCAGUCGCCGUUUGGACGCGGGUGCGAAUCCCGCCACCUCCACAA